rnacentral:rRNA from 1 species
GGGCUUUUUAAGCCUUGAAACGGUGCUAGCCAUGGAAAUAAUGAAAAUUCGACGCCAGGGUUCUAUUUUCGUUUGGUUCUCAGAACCCAAAGUUAAUGAUGAAUUGGGAGGGGGUCGGGGGGCAUUUGUAAUUUCGGCGCUAGAGGUGAAAUUUCUUGGAUUGCCGGAAGACAAACUACUGCGAAAAGCAUUUGACCCAGGACAUCUCCAUUGAUCAAGGGCUAAAGUUGAGGGAUCGAAGACGAUUAGAUACCGUCGUAGUCUUAACCACAAACGAUGCCGACUAGAGAUCGGGCUUGACUAUUUAGGCUUGCUCGGGAUCUUAGCGAAAGCAAAGUUUUUGGGUUCUGGGGGGAGUACGGCUCGCAAGGCUGAAACUUAAAGGAAUUGACGGAAGGGCACCACCAGGAGUGGAGCCUGCGGCUUAAUUUGACUCAACACGGGGAAACUCACCAGGUCCAGACAUACGGAGGAUUGACAGAUUGAAAGCUCUUUCUAGAUUGUAUGGGUGGUGGUGCAUGGCCGUUCUUAGUUCGUGGAGUGAUUUGUCUGGUUAAUUCCGAUAACGAACGAGACCUUAUUCUGCUAAAUAGACAGACUCAUUUUUUAAUGGGGUUGAGGACUUCGGUUUUUACUGUCUUCUUAGAGAGACUAUCGUCUUUAAGACGAAGGAAGUUUGAGGCAAUAACAGGUCUGUGAUGCCCUUAGAUGUUCUGGGCCGCACGCGCGCUACACUGAUGCAGGCAGCGAGUUAUAAUUCCUUGGCUGACAAGUCUGGGUAAACUUUUGAAACUGCAUCGUGCUGGGGAUAGAGCAUUGCAAUUAUUGCUCUUCAACGAGGAAUUCCUAGUAAGCGCAAGUCAUCAGCUUGCGUUGAUUACGUCCCUGCCCUUUGUACACACCGCCCGUCGCUACUACCGAUUGAAUGGCACGAGCAAGCAUUAGGGACGAACUCGCUUGGGUUGGCAACGACCUUGAGUUGAGUGUGGCAGUUUACUGUCCUUCGGAACGCUUUGCAAGCUCUACCAUUAGAGAAGUAAAAGUCGAGCCAUGCCCC